UGGUAGAUUUCCGCUACGACAAAUAUAUAGAAGGAAGCCAAAAACGAGAUGUCUCGUUUUCAAAAUGACUCUUUGCAAAUCCACUAGUUAUCUCGAUAGUUCUAGGUCAGCUAGAAAUUCGCUGAUCUAGACUAACUGCUAUGCGAGGCGUUUGAAGAAACCCUGUCAAAAAACAUCCAGCAAACAUAUGGCACCGAAGAUGCACCCUUUGUUCUACCUCUUUAAUUAAAAACGUUGCAUUCAUUGGUUCGUUUCAAUCAUAUUGUUGGACCUGUGUGGGAUGACCGGUCGAUUAGCCAGCGUCAAGAUAUCGUCACGGAUGUCACUCUCCUGCUUCGGGCUGUAUAGUUGUGAAACACGCGCCAGAAAACAAACAGAGGGGGAAGGCGAGGCAGAAAACGAAAAUUGUGAUGAAAAAUCCCAGAGAAGCAUACAAAAGGCCAUUAAGUGUCGAAGUUCACAUUGCAGAGAUUACAAGGUCUACCUACCGGGAAGAGGCUCACGCUUGUUCUAACGCCCAGGACAGGUGUGCAGAAAAACGUCUGUCCUAACAACUGGUUAAGAAAGUGGUGUCGAUGUCCGUAUCGACCUGCUGAGUUUGCCGGAGUUUGUGACGUUCCUUCUCAGUGAACACAGUCGUCUGAUUGUCGGUCUUGGCGCUUGUUGGUGUUGUCGUAUUCGAUUCCACGAUGUUUAAGUAGCAAGGUCGUUAAAUGAUUUGACCUUGAAAGUGGAUGCCCUCGCAAAGUAGUAUCGCGAAAGCCAACGAAAUCCGUCCAGCUCCAGCCUUCCUCUCGGUGGCGAUAUUCGACAGUAAAAGACCUCAUCUUGAAUAUUGCCAAGAAGAUGGCGGACUGUCUAUCACCCCUUGUUUGAGUAUCAACGAAAAUAAAAAGAAGAGUAUGUUUUUGCGACCACUUUUUCUUCAGAAAAAUCAACAUGAACCUUUUCGAGCUUACUAGAUUGAAUGGAAAUCCAUUCAUUUC